CUUGAAGUGUAUAAUAAAAGCAUGUUGCCUUAAAUAUAUUUGCAAGCACAUGCACAAACUUAUACUACUAAAUGGAUAAAUGUAAUAAAUUUUCCUACAGAGCAGGGCAUAUCUAUCUACAACAAUCAAUUUUAUCUUUCUCUCUCUCUCUUCUAAAAUGUAACACGAACAGUUUCAACAGACGAUUUACAAAGAAUGUUGUCCUCUUCUGAGGAUUCAAAGAUGAAUAAGACCAAGUUUUCAUGCAGAAAGAGAUGGCUAUUAUAAGUGAAUACUGAUAAUGUCACAUUUAAAAAAUAUUGACAGGCCAGGCACGGUGGUUCACGCCUGUAAUCCCAGCACUUUUCGGGGCUGAGGCGGGCAGAUCACGAAGUCAGGAGUUUGAGACCAGCCUGACCAGCAUAGUGAAACCCCGUCUCUACUAAAAAAUAGAAAAAUUAGCCGGGCAUGGUGGCACGCGCCUGUAAUCUCAGCUACUCAGGAGGCUGAGGCAGGAGAAUCACUUGAACCCGGAAGUCACGGAGGUUGCAGAGAGCUGAGCUCGUGCCACUGCACCCCAGCCUGGGUGACAGAGUGAGACUGUCUAAAAAAAAAGAAAAAAAAAAAAGUGUUGACAAUAUAAAUUUGAUACAUAAAAAUAUUCAGUGUAAAAAAAGAUGCCACUAGGAUUUGAAUAAGAUUUUGUAGGAAUAGUAUCAUAGGGUAGAAAAUUUGGAGGAAAUUCAUGAACAAGUUACAUGUCUUAUGUGUCUUCAUAAGUAAGUAGGACAGCUUAUUGACAGUCAACGAGAAACAAAGGUGUUGAAAGUGGAAAUGUUUGUUGAGGAGACUUUAAAGGGUCCAAUCCUCUUCUGCCAGAAGCACUCUCUAUCUUUUGCUGAACAUGAAGACUUCUGGGAAAGAGGAUAUAAUAGCAAGGCUUCUUAUUCUUACUACAUUCCAAUACAUUUAUUUUUCUAUGCACGACACGUCAUCAGGUAAGAAAACAGGUUGCAAUCACUUGGUUGCCUUUUUAUUUAUUUGUUUACUUACAUUCCAGCAGCAUUAAAGCUUCUGAGGGCUGACAGAUUUCCCAAAUUUCUCUAAUGAAAUGCCACUGGUUUCUAUGUAAAAGACAGACGGUAUAUGGUUCUCAAAGUUCUUUUUCCUUCAUAAACACAACUUUACAAAUACCUGCUGUGGCAGCUAAGCAACUUACUCUAUGGUAGUCAGAUAUCUAUCCCUUAGAUUAUCUAUUUCAUAUAAAUGACAGGGGAACAAUAGGGUUGCUGGAGACAUGUUAUAAAAUGGCCACCUUUAAAUAAACCCAACAGACAUUAAAGCUGGCAUUUGUAUGAAUUUAGAAGGUAGUAUAUUUAUUUAGGGAUUUUCAUAAUCUGAUUUAUUUGAUUGUUCACAACAGUUUCAACUCAAAAGAGAAAGUGUUGCUUAAUAACUUAUAUUUGACAAAGAAUGUUAAUGGAUGGGAUAAGAUAAAUUUGGUGAGUUAAUACAUUAAUUUUGGCACGGAAGAUUUCUUUGCCAUAGCC
rnacentral:lncRNA from 1 species